GCCGGAGUGGCGGAACUGGCAUACGCGCACGACUCAAAAUCGUGUCCCGCUCGGCGGGGUGAGGGUUCAAUUCCCUCCUUCGGCA
rfam:Chloroflexi bacterium RBG_13_60_9 RBG_13_scaffold_57479_curated, whole genome shotgun sequence.